rnacentral:rRNA from 1 species
AGCGAACGUUUGCGGCGGGCCUAACACAUGCAAGUCGAACGCACUAGCAAUAGUGAGUGGCGCACGGGUGCGUAACACGUGGGUAAUCAACCCUUCAGCCUGGGAUAACGACUCGAAAGGGUCGCUAAUACCGGAUACGGCGCGAGAGGCUUCGGCUUCUCACGAGAAAGCCACGCAAGGGGCACUGAAGGACGAGCCUGCGGCCCAUCAGCUAGUUGGUGAGGUAAGAGCUCACCAAGGCUAAGACGGGUAGCUGGUCUGAGAGGAUGAUCAGCCACACUGGAACUGAGACACGGUCCAGACUCCUACGGGAGGCAGCAGUGGGGAAUAUUGCGCAAUGGGCGAAAGCCUGACGCAGCCACGCCGCGUGAGCGAUGAAGGCCUCGGGUCGUAAAGACGUCUGUGGGGAGGAGACGAAGAAAGACC